rnacentral:lncRNA from 1 species
UGGGCGUGCGAACGAGAGAAGGAACCAAGGGAACCAAAACCCUAAACAACCUAAAACCAUCAAAUUGAAAGGGGAAUCGAGGGCUGAUCGAAUGCAUGAGUCUAGAUACCCUUUAAUCUAAGUGUAUUGAUCAUAAGGAACGUGUCAAGGAGAGCUCAAGCAUAGGAGGAUAACGGGUCAAGAUAAGGCAAGGUGACAAAUACACUUAUUGGAAUACUCAAGGUGAUGAAUGUCGGACUUUCGAAGUGUUGAUAUAAUAAUGAAACGGUUGAAUGUUGAAAGGAUAAUCGGACUGAAGUAACUUAUGCGGUAAAUCCUCAAUUUUGGCGACUUGGAGAAUCGGAGCGAGCGCGUGUUCGUGUUAUGCGAUACCAAACGCUUCCGCUAGUUUGUUCAAAUGUUUUUGACCCAAAAUUUGUUGUAUUGGUUUUUAGUAGUAUCUUGUUGAACGAAUUGUAGAAUUGUAUCUAGUUUGUUUAUGUUUAAAACAGGGGUAUGCUCGUUUUAUGGACGGGUCAUGCCCGAUUUUUUGUUAAAUUAUAGUUUGAUAAUAUCACAUUUAGGAAGGUGAAAUUUUGGGCGUA